rnacentral:rRNA from 1 species
UUCGUCACACUAUCAUUAACUGAAUCCAUAGGUUAAUGAGGCGAACCGGGGGAACUGAAACAUCUAAGUACCCCGAGGAAAAGAAAUCAACCGAGAUUCCCCCAGUAGCGGCGAGCGAACGGGGAGCAGCCCAGAGCCUGAAUCAGUGUGUGUGUUAGUGGAAGCGUCUGGAAAGGCGCGCGAUACAGGGUGACAGCCCCGUACACAAAAAUGCACAUGCUGUGAGCUCGAUGAGUAGGGCGGGACACGUGGUAUCCUGUCUGAAUAUGGGGGGACCAUCCUCCAAGGCUAAAUACUCCUGACUGACCGAUAGUGAACCAGUACCGUGAGGGAAAGGCGAAAAGAACCCCGGCGAGGGGAGUGAAAAAGAACCUGAAACCGUGUACGUACAAGCAGUGGGAGCACGCUUAGGCGUGUGACUGCGUACCUUUUGUAUAAUGGGUCAGCGACUUAUAUUCUGUAGCAAGGUUAACCGAAUAGGGGAGCCGAAGGGAAACCGAGUCUUAACUGGG